rnacentral:rRNA from 1 species
CCGCGUCAGUGAAGAAGGCCUUCGGGUUGUAAAGCUCUUUCAGCGGGGAAGAAACGGUGGGCUCUAACAUAGCCUGCUAAUGACGGUACCCGCAGAAGAAGCACCGGCUAACUACGUGCCAGCAGCCGCGGUAAUACGUAGGGUGCGACGUUAAUCGGAAUUACUGGGCGUAAAGCGUGCGCAGGCGGCGACAUAAGACAGAUGUGAAAUCCCCGGGCUCAACCUGGGAACUGCGUUUGUGACUGUGUGGCUAGAGUGUGGCAGAGGGGGGUGAAAUUCCACGUGUAGCAGUGAAAUGCGUAGAUAUGUGGAGGAACACCGAUGGCGAAGGCAGCCCCCUGGGUCAACACUGACGCUCAUGCACGAAAGCGUGGGGAGCAAACAGGAUUAGAUACCCUGGUAGUCCACGCCCUAAACGAUGCCAACUAGGUGUUGGGGAAGGAGACUUC